rnacentral:rRNA from 1 species
UACAGAGGGUGCAAGCGUUAAUCGGAAUUACUGGGCGUAAAGCGAGCGUAGUCGGUUAUUUAAGUCGGAUGUGAAAGCCCCGGGCUCAACCUGGGAAUUGCACUCGAUACUGGAUAGCUAGAGUUCGGCAGAGGGAAGCGGAAUUCCCGGUGUAGUGGUGGAAUGCGUAGAUAUCGGGAGGAACACCAGUGGCGAAGGCGGUUGCCUGGGGCUUUGCUGACGCUGAUGCGCGAAAGCGUGGGGAGCGAUCCGGG